UCUAUUUUACUACAUAUAUAGCAUAUAUAGUGCUUGGUAUUACAAGGCAUGUAUAAAUGAAAACUUCAUAUAUUAAUUAGCAACAUGCAUAUAUAUAUUAGUAACACACACAAAUACACAAUGGAAGUUAAUUUUAACGCCAAAAUAGUUUUGCGUAAUACAGAUGAUAUAUAUUUGUAUAUUUUCAUAAAAGUAACUCAAUGAUCAAAACCCAACACUACCCAUACAUAUAUAAAAGGCAAAAAUUAACCAGCUUAAUUAUAGAAUUUAAUAGUACCUCUAUUUCACUACACAUAUAGCAUACAUAGUGCAUGGUAUUACAGGGCAUGUAUACAUAUAAAUAUGUAUAAGAAAACAUCAUAUAUAUAUUAGCAACAUGUAUAUUAGUAACACACACAAUGGAACCCUAAAAUAUACAUUAUUAAUAUUUUCCUAUCUAGUUGUGCUCCUCAUGGGUGUAGAUGUAGUCAGUGUGAGCACUAAGUGUCCUCCUCAUCAAGCAUUCCUCCUCUCCAACUCCCUCACACCUUUCAACUUUUUCAUUAAUCUCCUCCUCCUCCUUCUCCUCAACACCCUACAAAAAGUUUAAAACCAUAAAAUUCACAUUAAAUAAUGAAUACAAAAACAAGUAUAAAAAGAUAAAUAUAUAUAUAUGUCAAUAUAUAUAUAUUAUGUAUAUGUAUGUAUAUAAUGAGUUACCAAAUGAGAGCUCUUAUUUGGACUCAUUGGUACAACCCUAGUAGCUUGGGUCAUGUUGGAGAGAAAGAGGAGGAGAGUUAUUAUGGCUAGGAUGGUUGGUUUAGACAUGGUUGGAGUAAAAAAAAAAAAAAAAAACUUAAGAUGCUUAAGAGGGAGUAAGGAGAGAUAAUGAAGAAGUGUGUGAGUUGGAGAAAUGAAGGUGAGGCUUAAGUAGGUGGUGAAAGAGGCAAAUGGUGUUUGCCUUUUAUAUUGUGAAAAAGUAUUUGAUUUUCUUUUUAUUGUUUAUCUCCUUAAAAAGGAAAUUGAUACUUCCAAGGAAAAUUUUACUAUUGUCAGAGUAAAGAGGUCCAAAUAAUGACUAGAUAUAAUAUAUCUGCUUUGACAAUAUCAAAUCUUGUGAUCUAGAUAUAUCAAUUCCCCUUUAAAAAACUUGUUUAGCUUAUAUUACUUGAUACAUAUAUAUGAGAAUUUAGUAUAUCAAAAUAUUGGAUUAUUAUGUAUAUACAGGAAUAAGCUAUUUGAUGAAGACAAGUGGACUUAAUUAGUUGACGAAGAC
rnacentral:lncRNA from 1 species